UCUCUAGUCCAGCGUGGUUUAUGGUGCCAAAUAAGUGCCAGGUGAACUCACUACAUCUGACAAAAUCUCAAGGAACCAAGUUUACCAGAUAAUAUUUAUGAUUAUGUGAAAAAGACUGAGGAAAUCACUCAAGUGAUCCAUCAUACAGCACCUCCAGUUCCAAAGAAUACUGACUUACUUCAGCUGUACUGGUCUGGAGCUGCACAUUCUUUUCAGACAACUCUUGUUCCAGUAAGUUCAGGUGACUCUUCUCCUGUAACAGAGCCUCCUUCUUAGAAACUAUGGCCUCCCGUUUCUUUAAGUCUGCUUCCAGCUCCUCUAAUUCUUGGCGUUGGUUCAGAACUUUCUCUACUUCUUCAUCUAACCAUUUCUUUUGCUCAUCCAAUUUCUACAUUAAAAUUAAAAAAAAAGUUACUUGUUUUUCCUUCUGCCAUAAAAAUUAUAUGGUAAUAAUAGAAUUUCAGAUUGGCUGAAAUCUCUUAAAUGAACAUUUAAAAACUAUCACUCAGAGUAACUCAGGUAGCCAUCUGAGAUCCUAAAGACAUCAGUAGUUCUAGUCAAGAUGUAGCUAUGUUGUUUUAUAAAGAAUUAAAAUUUACUCCCCAGAUAUGUUAAACAGUCUAGGAUUUUUUAGCCUGACGAAGAAAGGGCUGAUAAUUUCCUAUGCCUAUAUUAAGAACAUGCUGGAGUCUUUUACUCUGUUGUAGUGGUGCACAGUUCCAUCACAGCACUUACACUGGUGGCUGCCCUACGUAUCUAUCUCCCCAACUUCAGCUCCUUGAUUGAUUGCAGGGGCUGUAGUUUUUACCCGUCUAUCCACAUGGCUGGUAUAUUGCCUGGGCCACAGUAGGCAUUCAAUAAAAUGUUAAAUGAAUGAGUGAAUGAAUGCCUGAUUCAGUCAGUCAAUGAAGUGAAUAAAUGAAUACACACAGUGGAAGACACAGAUGAUGGAGGAUGGAAGGAAAGCCAAUUUGCAUUGUAGCUUGUCAACCUCAAAUAAUUAUUUUUAAAAAAGAAAAAAAACAAAAAUAAAAAAUUGCUGAAAAGAUCUCCAAAACAA
rnacentral:antisense_RNA from 1 species